rnacentral:rRNA from 1 species
UACGUAGGGUGCGAGCGUUGUCCGGAAUUAUUGGGCGUAAAGAGCUCGUAGGCGGUUUGUCGCGUCGGCCGUGAAAACCUGCAGCUUAACUGUGGGCUUGCGGUCGAUACGGGCAUCACUGGAGUUCGGCAGGGGAGACUGGAAUUCCUGGUGUAGCGGUGAAAUGCGCAGAUAUCAGGAGGAACACCGGUGGCGAAGGCGGGUCUCUGGGCCGAUACUGACGCUGAGGAGCGAAGGCCAGGGGAGCAAACGGG